rnacentral:lncRNA from 1 species
CUCUUCUUUUUCUUAUUUCCUUUUCUUUUUCGCUUGCUUGCCUAGAUUAAUUUCCUUCUUUCCUCUUCUUCCUUUCUACCACCCGUUAUUUCUCUGGUUUUCAUCGGUUUGCCUUUCACUUCACUUUCUUACUUUUUCCUUUUUAGUUUUCCUGUUAUUUGCUAUUGUUUCCUCUCCACAUUGUCCUUUUGCUUUAUUGCCCUGCCCUAAUCUUUAUUCCAUUUAGCCUUCCUUUCUAUCUUCGCUGUUCUUUACCCCCGCCGGCGAUUGGCCCGUUGCCUCCUGCACCGCGCUGGAGACCAUCGAUGUUGGAGUUUAUCAGCGCUAAUUAUGCUAUAUCAGCGCCGGGGCGCGGUGCUCCAGCCAAAAAAAGGCUGUUCCGGACCAGCUCUGCUCAGCAUGGAAACGUAAGGUUCAACAUGACAAUGGCUUAUCCUUCCCAGCAAUGACACUGUAAAAAUCCACAGACAGUAUCAUCAACACAGUGUAUAAGAGAUGCUCUUCUGCUGACACCUCAUGUUUUGUCAUGCUUCUCUAUGGGAAUACUAUUUUCAAAGGUGGUGUUGGAACCUCUAAAGAGGAAUAGCAUUGAUUUUGUGCUCCAAGAACCAAAACUGUGGCAAGGACACUAAUACAUAAUGCUUUCUGUGUUGGAGAAUGUUACUUGAGAAUUGGUGGGCAAAGGUGAUUCAUUGAUUUUGGGGGCUAUUUGUUUGUUUGUUCAUUACACAAGUGAAAAUUUCCAUGGUUAAAGCUCUUCUAAGUCUUGAUAAUUGAUGUAACAAUUGAUGAAAGUUUUGCGAGAACAUCAAAAAAGGACAGUAUACUUCACAUUACCUCGCUGGUCAGAAAUGCAAAUCCUCAGGAAUGUGGGCAGCAGGAAAACAACAGAUGAAUUUCCCUUUUGAAAGACAUACCUUGGAUCACGCUUUCUACUAAUAACCAGAACAGCAUGAUACUUGCAAAACAAACACAGGAAGGUCAUAGGAAAUAUUGCCACAGCUACCCUAUUUUCUAAAUGAGUCUCAUAGUAGAAUGGUAAUAGAGAACUUUGUCCUUGAAUAUCUACUAUUCACCUUGCAUCAUA